AUUGAACGCUGGCGGCAUGCCUUACACAUGCAAGUCGAACGGCAGCACGGGAGCAAUCCUGGUGGCGAGUGGCGAACGGGUGAGUAAUAUAUCGGAACGUGCCCAGUCGUGGGGAUAACGUAGCGAAAGCUACGCUAAUACCGCAUACUAUCUAUGGAUGAAAGCGGGGGAUCGCAAGACCUCGCGCGAUUGGAGCGGCCGAUAUCAGAUUAGGUAGUUGGUGAGGUAAAGGCUCACCAAGCCGACGAUCUGUAGCUGGUCUGAGAGGACGACCAGCCACACUGGGACUGAGACACGGCCCAGACUCCUACGGGAGGCAGCAGUGGGGAAUUUUGGACAAUGGGCGCAAGCCUGAUCCAGCAAUGCCGCGUGCAGGAUGAAGGCCUUCGGUUGUAACUGCUUUGUACGGAACGAACGGUGAGNUCUAAUACAGUUUGCUAAUGACGGUACCGUAAGAAUAAGACACCGGCUAACUACGUACG
rnacentral:rRNA from 1 species